rnacentral:rRNA from 1 species
AGGACGAACGCUGGCGGCGUGCUUAACACAUGCAAGUCGAGCGGAAAGGCCCUUCGGGGUACUCGAGCGGCGAACGGGUGAGUAACACGUGAGCAACCUGCCCUUAGCUCCGGGAUAGCUCCGGGAAACCGGAAUUAAUACCGGAUAUGACCUAGGCCGACAUCGGCUGUGGUGGAAAGUUUUUCGGCUGGGGAUGGGCUCGCGACCUAUCAGCUUGUAGGUGGGGUAAUGGCCUACCUAGGCUCCGACGGGUAGCUGGUCUGAGAGGACGAUCAGCCACACUGGGACUGAGGCACGGCCCAGACUCCUACGGGAGGCAGCAGUGGGGAAUCUUGCGCAAUGGGCGAAAGCCUGACGCAGCAACGCCGCGUGAGGGACGAAGGCCUUCUGGGUUGUAAACCUCUUUCAGCAGGGACGAUGAUGACGGUACCUGCAGAAGAAGCCCGGCCAACUACGUGCCAGCAGCCGC